rnacentral:rRNA from 1 species
UGGGGAAUCUUGCACAAUGGGGGCAACCCUGAUGCAGCGACGCCGCGUGAGCGAUGAAGGUUUUCGAAUCGUAAAGCUCUGUCCUAUGGGAAGAUAAUGACGGUACCAUAGGAGGAAGCCCCGGCUAACUACGUGCCAGCAGCCGCGGUAAUACGUAGGGGGCUAGCGUUAUCCGGAUUUACUGGGCGUAAAGGGUGCGUAGGUGGUCUUUCAAGUCGGUGGUUAAAGGCUACGGCUCAACCGUAGUUAGCCUCCGAAACUGGAAGACUUGAGUGCAGGAGAGGAAAGUGGAAUUCCCAGUGUAGCGGUGAAAUGCGUAGAUAUUGGGAGGAACACCAGUAGCGAAGGCGGCUUUCUGGACUGCAACUGACACUGAGGCACGAAAGCGUGGGUAGCAAACAGG